GCCCGCAUGGCUUAGUGGUACAGCGUCUCACUCGUAGAAAGUCAUCUCGGUAUGAGAAGAUCGGCGGUUCGAUUCCGCCUGUGGGCA